rnacentral:RNase_P_RNA from 1 species
GGAGGCUGCAGGGUGGCCGCUGCUAUCUUCAUUUAAUGGGGAUAGUGGAGGAAAGUCCGGACACCAUAGGGCAGGGAGGUCGUUAACGGCGACCGGGGGCGACCCCAGGGACAGGGCAACAGAAAGUAUACCGCCGCGCCUUCGGGCACGGUAAGGGUGAAACGGUGGGGUAAGAGCCUACCAGAGGGCCGGGUGACCGGCUCUGCUAUGUAACCCCCUCCCGGUGCAAGGCCAAAUAGGCCCGGUUUUAAGGACGGCUCGUUCUUCUUCUUCGGAAGGGCCGGGCGGGUUGGCCGCACGAGGAGCUCGGCAACGAGCUUCCCAGAUGAAUGGUCACCAUCGCUUUCGGGCGAUACAGAAUCCGGCUUACGGCAGCCUCCGAUC